rnacentral:tRNA from 1 species
ACCAAGGAUUCGCGAAGGGCGCGCAGGUUUGCUAAACCUGUUCCGCUACGCGGAUCGUGGGUUCGAAUCCCACCCUCGGCGC